GCNGAGGANCNUUANGUANAAAUAAACCUGAUGGGNUGUUGCUGGUUCUCUAGGGAGCAUGUGCACGCCUUGUCAUCUUUAUAUCUCCACCUGUGCACCUUUUGUAGACCUUUCAGGUCUAUGUUUGCUUUAUUUACCCCAUUGUAUGUUAAUAGAAUGUUGUGCCUAUAUAAAUAUAUACAACUUUCAGCAACGGAUCUCUUGGCUCUCGCAUCGAUGAAGAACGCAGCGAAAUGCGAUAAGUAAUGUGAAUUGCAGAAUUCAGUGAAUCAUCGAAUCUUUGAACGCACCUUGCGCUCCUUGGUAUUCCGAGGAGCAUGCCUGUUUGAGUGUCAUUAAUAUCUAUAUCAACCCCUCCUUCUCUUGUGUAGGAGUGGUUUGGAUUUGGGGGUUUUGCUGGCCUCUUAAAAAGGUUCAGCUCCCCUGAAAUGCAUUAGCAGAACAAUCCUUGUUCAUUGGCGUGAUAACUAUCUAUGCUAUUGAAUUGUGAGGUGCAGUUCAGCUUUCUAACAGUCCUUUGGACAAAUUCAUCAUUAAUGUGACCUCAAAUCAGGUAGGACUACCCGCUGAACUUAAGCAUAU
rnacentral:rRNA from 1 species